UGAAUAUUUGAAAAUCGGGAUUUUUUUUCUAUAAAUAUGGAGAAUUUCUGGAAUUUUUCUUAAAUCCCAAAAUUUCCUAUUCUUUCUAUUUUCUCCCCCGGUUUUCUCUCUUCUCUCUCCUCUCCCCCGACCUUUUUCUCUUCUUUCUGGGCGUUCUUCCUCUGCCAGCAGCGCCACCGUCCGGCCACCUCAAGCCGCUCUCGAGGUGUCCACGGCUUCGCCUCGACGUCGUCUAGCUACUGGACGUGACCACUUUCCCCGGAACGGCCUCAAAUCCGGCAAACCGGAGCUGCAAGGUUUGAGCCAAAAACAGUCAACGCCGGUUUUCUCCUAAUUCCGGCCACCAAAACUCACGAUCCUUAGCUCCCUGAACUCACCUCAACAUGCUGAUCAUCAUCCUAGAAGGAUCGCACCUGGAGUGACCGGAUUCACGUUCGUCGGAGCUCGGCCGGCUUUAAUUCGAAAACCACCUUCGAAUCCGAUUUUCUCGAGUUAUAGACCACCUUUUCUUGUGAUUCUUGGCCUGGUGAGUUCACCUUGAGAUUAUUAACAACUCUCAAGAAGGGAUCGAGGCCUGAGGUUGAAGUUUUUACGUCGGAAUUCAAGCUCGCCGGAUUCUGGAAAAUUUCCGACCACGAAGACUUUCGAUCAAGAUAUCUCGAGCUGUAGUGCAUCGUUUUGAUUGAUUCUUUUUCCAGUGGGUUCCCCUUGAUGUUGUUAACAACUCUCUAGAAGGCAUCGAGGCCUGAAAUUGAAGUUUUUACGUCGAUCGGAGCCCUCGCCGGAUUCUGCAAAAUUCUGCAAAUUUUCCGACCACCGAAGCUUUCGAUCGGUAUAUCUCGAGCUACAGACCAUAUUUUUCUGUGAUUCUUGAACCAAUGCGUUCGUCUUGAGUUUCUUAACAACUCUCUAGAAGGAAUCGAAGCCUGAAAUUGAAGUUUUGACGUCGAAAUCAAGCCUUGCCGGAUUCUGCAAAUUUCGCCGGAUUCUGGAAAUUUUCCGGCCACCUCGACUGUUCUAGGUUAUCGACGGAUUGAUUUGGUGGACGAUUCGGAUUGAUGUAUUUGGCUUUUUAGAAGACGCAGCUGGAUUAGAGCGGGAAAUCCUACAGGUCAGGAAGAUCAAGGCGGAGAUCGUGCGGGUUAGAGUUUUUGUUUCAGUUUACAGCUUUGUAAAUUGUGAGAUGUAUUAUUAAGAGGUGUGAAGUGUGGUUGUUGUGAGAAAAAAAUUCAGGACGUUUAUUCUAUUAAGUUGUAUAAUUCAUGUUUCGGAUUUUAAUUGUAUUUAAAAUUCGGGGC